AUGCGCUCCAAGUAUAAGUCCAUUGAAACUUUGCAGGGUCAGCCAAGUCGGAAACGCGGACAUACUUCUCAGUAUCUAACCGAUGUUUUUAGGAGAGCCAAAAUUCAGUUUGUUCAAGAAAGUCGUCAGUUUCAGUUUUCUCGGCUUCAAUUAGGAAGGACAAAAAGGCUGUUGAAAACUCUUCAAUGUGAAUCUCAUAUUUCUAAUUGUCCAGUUUCAUUCAAGAAUAGUGAAGGUCUCUUUCUUCGUAGAAAGGCUUCCAAGAUUUUUGUCAAAGGCGGUUUAAUACUUAUGUGA